rnacentral:rRNA from 1 species
AGUGAACGCUGGCGGUAGGCCUAGCACAUGCAAGUCGAACGGCAGCACAGUAAGAGCUUGCUCUUACGGGUGGCGAGUGGCGGACGGGUGAGGAAUACAUCGGAAUCUACUUUUUCGUGGGGGAUAACGUAGGGAAACUUACGCUAAUACCGCAUACGACCUACGGGUGAAAGCAGGGGAUCUUCGGACCUUGCGCGAUUGAAUGAGCCGAUGUCGGAUUAGCUAGUUGGCGGGGUAAAGGCCCACCAAGGCGACGAUCCGUAGCUGGCCUGAGAGGAUGAUCAGCCACACUGGAACUGAGACACGGUCCAGACUCCUACGGGAGGCAGCAGUGGGGAAUAUUGGACAAUGGGCGCAAGCCUGAUCCAGCCAUACCGCGUGGGUGAAGAAGGCCUUCGGGUUGUAAAGCCCUUUUGUUGGGAAAGAACAGCUGUAGGUUAAUACCCCGCUGUUCUGACGGUACCCAAAGAAUAAGCACCGGCUAACUUCGUG